rnacentral:siRNA from 1 species
ACUACACGUGCAUAUUGGUUUGUG